UCUUGGGGAUACCUGCAGCCUGUCAUAAAAACAAGUAGGUCACUAAUCAAGAAGUUAUAAUAUGUAAUUUAUGGAUAUAUAGUUGAAGACUAUAAAAGUCUUGAGGUUUUCUAGAGUUCCAAGUUUUAUUCAGGAACAAUUGAAUUGUUACUAAUUACUUAUGAAAAUAUUCCAAGAAAUCAAAUAGCCAUAUAUAAAAACUUGUCAAGCCAUAUGUAUAACCAAUCAUUAAAGUGUUGAACCAUAUGUAAAACCCCGUCAUUUGAGUGUUGAGCCAUAAGUUUUUUUUGAAAUGGCAAACAUUAUUCUCGUCGAGUAUAUGCAAGACGCACAAAUCUCGCGGAAAAGGAAAGAAAACUACAACACGGUGCCGCUUAUAUACGGAACACAACCACACCAGAAAAAAUAACCCGAAAAAAACUGCAGGGCCUCGCUCACUGAGGCUGAGAUAUACUUGAUACCACCACACAUACC
rnacentral:lncRNA from 1 species